rnacentral:lncRNA from 1 species
CUGGCUGUCACUUAUGGGGCAGGGCUGUCACUUAUGGGUCAGGGCUGUCACUUAUGGGUCAGGGCUGUCACUUAUGGGGCAGUGCUGUCACUUAUGGGGCAGGGCUGUCACUUAUGGGGCAGGAAGGGGGCACUUAUGGGGCAGGGCUGUCACUUAUGGGGCAGGGCUGUCACUUAAGGGGCAGGGCUGUCACUUAUGGGGCAGGGCUGUCACUUAUGGGGCCUGGCUGUCACUUAUGGGGCAGGAAGGGGGCACUUAUGGGGGAGGGCACUUAUGGGGCAGAGGUGUCACUUAUGGGGCCUGGCUGUCACUUAUGGGUCAGGGAUGUCACUUAUGGGUCAGGGUUUCACUUAUGGGGCAGGGCUGUCACUUAUGGGGUAGGAAGGGUGCACUUAUGGGGUGGGGGGGGCACUUAUGGGUCCGGGCUGUCACUUAUGGGGCAUGGUUGUCACUUAUGGGGCAGAAAGGGGGCACUUAUGGAGUGGGGAGGGCUCUUAUGGGGCAGAGGUGUUACUUAUGGGGCCUG